rnacentral:rRNA from 1 species
GAUGAACGCUAGCGGCAGGCUUAAUACAUGCAAGUCGUGGGGCAGCAGGUCUGUAGCAAUACAGAUGCUGGCGACCGGCAAACGGGUGCGGAACACGUACACAACUUUCCUUUAAGUGGGGAAUAGCCCAGAGAAAUUUGGAUUAAUACGCCGUAACAUAGUGAAAAGGCAUCUUUUUAUUAUUAUAGCAGCAAUGCGCUUAAUGAUGGGUGUGGCGUCUGAUUAGGUAGUUGGCGGAGUAAUAGCCCACCAAGCCUACGAUCAGUAACUGGUGGCGAGGCACUACCCGUCACACGGGCACGUAGACACGCGCACGACGCCUACGGGAGGCAGCAGGAAGGAAUAUUGGGCAAUGGACGCAAGUCUGACCCAGCCAUGCCGCGUGGAGGAUGAAGGUCCUCUGGAUUGUAAACUUCUUUUAUCUGGGAAGAAAUCCAUCUUUUCUUGGGUGGUUGACGAUACCAGAUGAAUAAGCACCGGCUAACUCCGUGCCAGCAGCCGCGGUAACAC